rnacentral:rRNA from 1 species
GCCUUCGGGAACCGUGAGACAGGUGCUGCAUGGCUGUCGUCAGCUCGUGUUGUGAAAUGUUGGGUUAAGUCCCGCAACGAGCGCAACCCUUAUCCUUUGUUGCCAGCGGUCCGGCCGGGAACUCAAAGGAGACUGCCAGUGAUAAACUGGAGGAAGGUGGGGAUGACGUCAAGUCAUCAUGGCCCUUACGACCAGGGCUACACACGUGCUACAAUGGCGCAUACAAAGAGAAGCGACCUCGCGAGAGCAAGCGAACCUCAUAAAGUGCGUCGUAGUCCGGAUUGGAGUCUGCAACUCGACUCCAUGAAGUCGGAAUCGCUAGUAAUCGUGGAUCAGAAUGCCACGGUGAAUACGUUCCCGGGCCUUGUACACACCGCCCGUCACACCAUGGGAGUGGGUUGCAAAAGAAGUAGGUAGCUUAACCUUCGGGAGGGCGCUUACCACUUUGUGAUUCAUGACUGGGGUGAAGUCGUAACAAGGUAACCGUAGGGGAACCUGCGGUUGGAUCACCUCCUUACCUUAAAGAAGC